GACAGAGGGUGCAAGCGUUAUUCGGAUUUACUGGGCGUAAAGGGCGCGUAGGCGGUUUGGUAAGUCUGGUGUGAAAGCCUCAGUCUUAAGCUGAGAAGUGCACUAGAUACUGCUAGACUUGAGUGUAGGAGGGGAGAGUGGAAUUCCUGGUGUAGAGGUGAAAUUCGUAGAUAUCAGGAGGAACAACGGUGGCGAAGGCGACUCUCUGGACUAUUACUGACGCUGAGGCGCGAAAGCGUGGGGAGCAAACAGG
rnacentral:rRNA from 1 species